UGGGGAAUAUUGCACAAUGGGGGAAACCCUGAUGCAGCGACGCCGCGUGAAGGAAGAAGUAUUUCGGUAUGUAAACUUCUAUCAGCAGUGAAGAAAAUGACGGUACCUGAGUAAGAAGCACCGGCUAAAUACGUGCCAGCAGCCGCGGUAAUACGUAUGGUGCAAGCGUUAUCCGGAUUUACUGGGUGUAAAGGGAGCGUAGACGGAUAGGCAAGUCUGGAGUGAAAACCCAGGGCUCAACCCUGGGACUGCUUUGGAAACUGCAGAUCUGGAGUGCCGGAGAGGUAAGCGGAAUUCCUAGUGUAGCGGUGAAAUGCGUAGAUAUUAGGAGGAACACCAGUGGCGAAGGCGGCUUACUGGACGGUGACUGACGUUGAGGCUCGAAAGCGUGGGGAGCAAACAGG
rnacentral:rRNA from 1 species